rnacentral:rRNA from 1 species
ACUCCUACGGGAGGCAGCAGUGGGGAAUAUUGGACAAUGGGCGCAAGCCUGAUCCAGCCAUCCCGCGUGCAGGAAGACAGCCCUAUGGGUUUUAAACUGCUUUUAGAAGGGAAGAAACGCCUACAUUUAUGGUGGGUUUGACGGUACCUUCAUGAAUAAUGCACCGGCUAACUCCGUGCCAGCAGCCGCGGUAAUACGGAGGGUGCGAGCGUUAUCCGGAAUUACUGGGUUUAAAGGGUGCGUAGGCGGGCGAUUAAGUCAGAGGUGAAAGCUUUCAGCUUAACUGAGAAAUUGCCUUUGAUACUGAUUGUCUUUGAAAAUA